rnacentral:lncRNA from 1 species
AAAAAUUGUUCCAGCUGUCCAAAAAGCUGAGAAGGCUACCAUCCACGUGCCUCUAUGUGAAACAGGAACGAACUCCAGAAAAUAGGAUAAGAAUACAGGUCCUCCCCCCAAACCAAUACCAACGAAACAACGAAAUAUCAACAAUGAUACAUAAUUUGGGGAGAAAGUACUUAAUAGUCCAGCCACACUAGUUACCAUAGCUAUGCUGAGAAAACUCUUUCUGGAGAGAGCAGAUACUAGUCAGCAUUUAAUAAAACUAGAAAAAAGUACUUAUAAAACAUCAAGUUUCAACCAAAGACUUUAUAUAUAUGAAUAAAUUCUUAAGUAGAAUGGCCUAACAUUUGAUGGUUAAGUGCAUCUUUAUGAUUUACUUAAGGAUAUCAGGGAAAAAAGGUGAACUGAUGUACUGAAAUAAACUGAACCUUAAAAGCCUGGUGGAAAACGAAGUUGAACAGACUCAUAUUUGAGCUGUACCAAGCAAAAAGCUUCUUGCAGCACAUAUAACAGUCAAGAAACAUCGCGCUUUAUAAUCCAUGAUGCGUAUGACUUGAAAAUACAAUAACAUUUCUGCCUAUGGCAAUUCACAAGUAGUAUGCAAUGAGUGGAACAGCAAGAAAAGAAUGUGGUGACAGAAAUAUUCCUUACAGAUUCUAGUAAUACUUGUAGUAACAUUUUAGGAAGACCACUGAACAGGUUGAAAAAACUGGAAAUUGAUAAAUUAAAGGGAAAUGAAUGGCUUAGAAAGGGUGCUAAACUUUUUUAGAAUUUCAAAUCUCAGUCUGCUAAUUUAGAAAAUUUGUAACACUGCAUAAACACUUUAUUCUUUCUGCAUGGAUAUUUGUGACCCCCUAAUUGCUUCUGUGUGCCUACAUGUUGAAGUUUGAGUGGGCGAGUUAAAAAUUGAAUCUGUUAAGGUAAAACAGGCAUCAAGAGCUCAGAUGAGUUGCAAAAACAGUUUAGGUUACAAUAAAAAGGGACAAAGCUAUUAAACAUAUUUGAAAUUUAAUAUGUACAUUUCUAAGUUGAAAUAGUGAGAAACAUCCAGAAGGCAAAUCCAAAUUGUGGAGAAAGCACAUGAUGAAACUCCCAAGUAAUCUCCAGAAGUAUAAGAAUCAAAAUGAAAUCUUUUAUAUACAAAUCCUCCUGUGAGCCGAUGAAGAUAUAGGCUAAAAGAAUGAUAAUAUGCUAUCUGCAAGGUAAGAAGCUAUUCUAGCAACGUAGCAAAUAUACGUUCGAUGUCUGAAUUAACAAGCAAUAACCUACCUCCUCCCAUAAUUAUCAGAAAUAAUGCCCCAAGAAUAAGCUCCAAGCAGCAUCCCAGCGAAAACAACAGUGGUUAGCAGGCUCUCUUCGCUUGAGGUUAGUUUCCACUUUGAUUUGACUGCUGGUCCAACAAAAGAGAGAAUCAUAAUCUCCAUUGCCUCUGAAACCCAACCAAGUCCAGCAUAUGCCAGCACUAGAGCUUGGUACUUCCCAAACCUCAGAGCAGAAAGUGCUUCAUCCAGCAUGUACACAGGACGUUCAUCUCCCAUCUAAAGACCCAAAUUGAAAGAUAUUGUUGUCCAUAAACAUAUCCAUCAAAAUUAUUAGUCCACUGCAGACUAUAUUUGCAUAAAUAAUGACUACUCUUACCAACAGAGAGACAACAGCAAUGGCACAAAUAAUUGUAACAAAUAACAAGAGAGAAAUUCAUAUCCUUAUGCAUAGUUGGACCAUUGAAUUUAUAUGUUUCAGUCAAAGAAACUUGUUUUCGGCUCAAUUGGAUGAAAGUUUACACAGUAAACUAAUCAAAUGUUGAAAUGUGUUCUAAGUGACAUAACCUUGAAGUCAAUGUUUUUUUUUUUUAAAAUACAUAUAACAUCCUUAUGUGUUUCAGCAACUUCACAUAUUUAAAUUCUAUAAUUCUUUGUUUGAAAAUAAAAAAUAAAAAGUCAAAAAAAUCCACUUGAGGGUGUAUGUUAGGUUCCAGGAGACAGACAGUGAGACAGAGAAAAAAAUAAAUUGUCAAUAUGAAGUCAAAAUUCAUUCAGUACACCAGAAGAAAGCAGCUUUUCUUUUUGCUUGCUGCAACAACAACUCCAGGGAAAGCACUUUUGGGAAGUUUGAUAAAACAUUUGCACAAAUAUGUCCCAUACCAAAGUAAAUUCAGGCAAGUUUCUGGAUAUUCAAAAGCAUGUAUGCGCAGCUUAAAUUAAAUAGUUCUGAAGUAGCUUCACAAGAAUUGCUUAUCAACUAACAACAAAAUGCAGUAAUUGUGGGAACACAAAUGCAUCACCUUUCUUUAGAAAACACGUGCAAGCCAAAUGAUCAAAAGCUCUAUAUGAUCACAAAAAGAACAAUGAAAAUACGAAAAACAAGAAAUUACCUUUACUGGUUUCACCUGAAAGAGUGAGUACUGACUACAGAGCACAGAGCGGUCAAGUAACUAUCACAAACAAAUACUAGUAGGACGCUAGACCGACUUGUCGUACAGAGGUGGAUAUGGAAAUGGGAAUCCUGGUAAUCAUUGUCAGAAGGUCGUCAACGAAUAAUUGAAUGUUCUUUAGGUGUUGGUGCAAGUGGGCGAGAUCGUGAAUCGAUCAAACCAGAAAGUGACGUGUGGAAGGGUUUGGGUCAUUUGUGGUCCGAUCAAUACGAUUAAAAAGAAAAUUAUGAUUGUGUUGAAAGAGAAGGAGGUGGGAACCACGGGGGCUGUCGUUUUGUUGGUGAUCGAUAACGUCAAGAACAAGAAAGAUUACCGAAUGCCACCACUGCGGCGAGCGCUAGUUGACAAGUGUGUAGAAAAUGACACCAACUUCGCCGGAGUUCGUCACCAGUUCGCAUGAGAUGACAUAGGUAAUCGGUAAUGUGGUAAUUAGUAAUGAUAUUUCACUCAAAAUUUUUGACGGAAUAGUUAUCAAAUAACUCUAGUAUCUUGCGCUUUUUUAGUGGGAUCGUUAUAUUAAAAAAAUUACGACCCCUUUGGCAGUUCAAAUCUCAGUAUUAGUACACCGGUGGAUUUGAUUUUUUUUUGUAUAAUAGGGGUUUAUUUGUCUCUUUCUAUUAGGGUAAAAUCGAUGUCUUUCUAAUAUUUACAGUGAAAAUAGAUAUUCUUUUAAUUUUAAGUAAAUGCUCGAAUGUCGUAUAAUAGGCUCCAAUAUUGACAGUGAGGAUAUAUCUCCCUCCAAUUUUAAGUGAAGAUUGACUUUCAGAUUGUCCUAUAAUAGGAUUAUUCAUGAGAGUCCUCGAUUGAUCUCUAAUUAUAAAUAUCAGUAGAGAUUUGAUUGUAUUAUAUUAGUAUAUCAAAAAAAAAAUUAAGACUGCAUAAUUUUUCUGUUAUUUUUGUUGCAUGUGCAUAUACAUGUGGUUUUUUUUUUCACUCUUUUGCCUCUUUAAUCCAUAGUAAUUUAUUAGUUCUCUCUUAUUUUUAUUUUUGUAGGUUAUAUUUAUGUGACUUGAGUUGAGAGACAUGACUCUCAUGUAUAUGAUUUGUUUCCCUAAAUUUAAAACAAUUUCUUCUAUUUGUAUUUUCUUUCAUUAUACUUGAAACUACUUUUAAACCAUAAUUUCCAAAUCAAUUAUUCUCAUUCAUAAGUUUAUUGAUAGAAAGAACUUUUUUUUUUUAAAUGUUGCAAUAAAAAUAAAUAAGACUAAUUUCAAGAGUGAGAAAAUGGCUUAAAAAUCAUAAAUGAAUUAAAUAAUCAUAAAUUAGGUGUUGAUUAAAAGGGUAUUUUUGGAAUCAUGUUGGAUUUUACUGAAAAUGGGGGUCUUCGGAGGAUAUUUGAGGGGCAUAAAUAGAUUCACUCUACAAUAUAAUCUACAAUAAAUGCAUCAUCGUAAGGUCUCCGAUUCAAAAGAAUGUUAACCCCUGUCUCGGCCAUAUCCGUUUCUGUUUGGACUGAAUUGUCACAAAUCCAAAAACAAAGACAAUAAUAAUAAUAAUAAUGUUGACGGAGAGAAGGUUCCGGAAGAUCCAUCAAUUACCCUGCUAGCUAGGUUCCUACUUUUUAGCACAAUCACGAAUAAGAACUUAAUCCACAUUUUCCAUGAAAGUCCAUGACUCCAUGGUCCAUGCCAUCAAAAUUUGCAAAGAUUUCGUUAGUAAAGUCAUUGAAAUAACCGUCAUAAAAUCGUAAAAGAAUAAAACAAAUUGGGUUAUUAAUAAAUACUUUCUCCUGAUACUAUAAAAUUGAAAAAUUAUUUUUUAAAAAAAAUAACUUGACGUGUAAAUUUUUAUUUUUUAUUUAAAAAAGUAGAGGAACGGACUUUAUCCAUAUUAAUUUUUUAUUUCUUAUCUCUCUGAAAAUUCAUAUUGGGGUGAUCAAUUAGAUAAAAUUAUUUAAAAAUUACUCGACAUCUUAAAGGGGUGUAAUUAUGUUAUCGAUUAAGUGAUUAAAUUUUACUACAUUUCGCCAAUAAAUAACUUGGUGACUCAGGAGAUGGAUAAUAAAAGAGAAGCAGAGCGAAUGAUGGUACAGCAGAAAGUGCAAGUAACCACCUCCAAUUCAGUAUUAUCAUGACAUUGUGCAAGUGAAGGCAUGUUGACAUUUUAUGAAGCCUCAAGGCCUUCUUCAGUCACCAGCAUAAUACUGGGUAAAAUUGUGUAUUAAUUUAUCAAGAAAGAAAUAUGUUAUCAGAAAGCAGACUCUUAAGCUUCAUGAUGUAAGUGACUUUUGAGUUUGAAGUCAGGACAGAAAGCGUACCCAGGCAAGUGAAGCCUUAAAGAUUGUUCUAGCACUCCAGUAAGCUGAGCACACUACCAUCCACGCACCUCAACAAGAAACAGGAACGAACUCUAGAAAAAUAGAAUAAAAAUACGUGUACUCUGCCCAAACAACGACAUAUCACCAUACACCACCAUUGAUGCAUAAUUUGGUGAGAAAGCACUCAGCAAUCCAGCCACACAAGUUACCACUGCUAAGCCGAGCAUACUCUUUCUGGAAAGAGCAGACCAGACAACAUGAUGACUUGUAAAAAUGAAGUCUAGUUUCAACCAAAGACAUAAUAUUUAUGAAUCGUUUCUUUGGCAUAAUGGCUUGACAUUAUAUAGAUAAGACCAGCUUCACGAUUUACUUAAAUAUAACAUCAGAAAGAAAAAGGCGGAUUGACGUAAAGAAAAAAAGAAAUGACUAAUAUCUUGUACCACCAAGGGCUUCUAUUUCUUUAGAAAGCCACUUGUAGAGUACAGUACAUAUAGCAAUAAUCUAGAAACUGAAAAAUGAUUUUCACUUUAUUAAAUUCGUGAAGCCUAUGAUUAGAGUUCGAAUGUGCUAAUAUUCAAAGCUUAAAAUCAUCCAUAAAUUCUUUAUUCUGCAUGGACAGUUCGGACAGCAUAAUUGCUUCUGCGUGCCUACAAUGUGGGAGAAGCAAAAGUAAAUUAACAAAGCAAAACGGAAGGACGAAAUAGGCUACUUCCUCCCCGAAAUUAACAGAAACAAACAGCAUCCCAAUAAAAAAAACAACAGUCGCCUGACGUGAGUCCCCAUUUUGAUCCUACAAAAGAGAGAAUUAUCAUCUCCAUCGCUUCCGAAAACCAACCGAGUCCAGCAUACGAGAGAGCACAACAGCUAUGUAGUUCGCCAAAUCUCAGAGCAGAAAGUGCUUCAUCCAACGUGUACACAAGGCUUUCAUCUCCCAUCUACUGAACCCAAUUAAAAACGAUGAGGCUACUUCUCACCUCCAACAAUAACACCGCCAAUGGCACAAAUAAUUUGUAACAACUAACAAAUUACAAAUCAAUGGAAAGAAAUUUGUAUCCUUGUAUGUUUCGGUCAAAGAAACCUUUUUCUUUUAACUGAUCAGUUGGACUAAAAGUCCAGACAACAAUAUUAUUGACAAAUUAACCAAAUGUGUUCUAAGAGAUAUAUAUUAACUUGAUAUUGGGUUCACCCGAAAUAAAGGUUUAAACUCGGAGUAUGAUAAUAAAUCCUAAGACGCCAAGUUAAACCGACUUGUCGUGCGGAUAAUACCUUUUGCCGUUCCUUCCUGAUUAAAAAGAUAUCUCACGGGUUAAUAAUGAUUUUGGUGCCUGGAGUUCGGAAAAUUCCACUGCGCGGGUACCAGCCCUGCAGCGUAAAAUUCUGAAUAUUUUAGUUCGGAAUUAUGGGAACGUGGGCCAGGGGGAUCACGUGUAUUCUCUAGAUGGCAAGAUUGAACAUUAACUAAUUAAAUAUAAAGCGUCGGAUUUGACGAUACUUUGUCCACUCAACAUUUUAGUUGCUGUGGGCAACUAAAGACGAGAUAUUUUUAUUAUUAAUUUUUGCAUUUUUCUACCUUCACCAACCGUACAGUUUCUUUUUUCACAUAGCACUUGGUAUCGUAUAUUUCAACAGCAACAUACGAAGCCUAAAAGCCUUAUUGAAAUUCGGCUGCGAGCCCAAAAUUUGAAAGUGAUGAAAGGAGAUGAUGAUGACUGAUGAGAGAGAUCCAAACAUGAAAAUUAAUUAAUGCACUUGAAACUUAAUUUAUAUAACAUUUGCAUCCAAUUCAUAAGCGUUCAAUGAAAAGUAAGAAAGUUUGCUGAAGUAUUGUGCACUGACGUACUUUUUCCACUGGCAAGAGAGUAUAAGAAACAGAGCAACAAGCUUACUAUGAUUCAAUUGCAUCCACAGUAUCUUUUAGUUCCCGUCCCAUGGUUUCAAAUGGGAAGAGCAGAGAAGAGGCUAUAGCCAGAACAAAUACAACCUCAAACAGAAUAACCGCAAGUCUUAGGUGACAACUGGUUACAAGUCCAACGGCAACAAGAGGGCAUACCAUGCCUCCAACUUUUCCCAAAGAACUUGCAACACCAAACCCAGUUGUCCUCGCGGGCGUAGGAUAUAUCUGAGAUGAAAAACAUAUUUGUGAAACUUGAAAGAGUAAACGAUCAUAAAAAUGAAGACUAUAACGUAUCAAGAACUCAAGCGCUAUUAAUUAGUACAAUUUUCUUUCGAUAGGUAUGAGAAGUUCCAUCAGAUUACCUCAGGGGCAUAAAUUGUGGCAACUGUUAUGGUUCCUGUGACACACAUGCGAACUCCGAACAGUAACAACGUAGUUACUACAGCAGACUGAUGGAAGACCAGUGGCAGAAGGAAAAUGCAAGCUGAGACAAACAUAAGAACCAUGGAAAGCUUGCGGCCAAUUUUGUCCACUAUUAUUGCUGACAAGAUAAGCCCAGGAAGCUCUGUAAUAUAAAAUCAACACAAAUGUUACUAAGCCAUGACACUAUAUGAAAGAAAAUAAAAGGUGUUAAAAGAGAAGAAUAUAUUUCAAAAUAUAGAGUACAUGACGGUCAACGGAAGUCAUACAGUACCUGCCAAACUAGCGAUAAACACAUCGACAUACAGGCUAUUAUCUUUCGACUUGUCCACAUGCAAGACCUUUGAGCCGCAUUUACUGUCUCCACUGCUUAGCUUAGAGGUCAACAAGACAGCGCCAUAAUAUGAGAAAACAUUUGCAAAGAAUAACACCCAUAGGAGAAGAGUUGUCCGAAUUAAUUUUCUUGAGAAAAGCAUAAAAAAUGAUGAGAAGCCAGACUUUAACUUCUCGGUGAUCUUUCUUGUAAUUGAGAGCAUAUGUGUAUCUCGCAAUAAAUUUGAUUCUUCGUUCUCUUUAAUUGCUUUAUCAGAAACAAGAAUGCCGGGUGGGAGUUUUGUUUGGUUGACAAAAGCCAUCUUCUCGAGAAUUCUAUGUGCAUCAGCUGUUCUAGCUUUCGCACACAAAUACCGGGGUGACUCAGGUGCUAGACCAUAAAAGAGAAGCAGAGCAAAUGAUGGUACAGAGGAAAAUGCAAGUAGCCACCUCCAAUUCAGUCUUGUCAUGACAACCUGCAAAUGAAAGAAUUUUUAAAUUUUACGGAGCCUCAGAGCCUCCUGUCACCAGCAUACCAGUUAUCGCUUAAGAAGAAUAAAAAUAGAAAAGCAUGAUUAGUUAUUUGGUUCAGACAUCAGUUGAAGAUAAACGUCCAUUUUUCCGAAUAUCAUAAACUUUUAAAGGUACAAUAUCUUUUCUGGAACGAUGCCAAAAGAUUUUGAAUAAUGAAGAACGGGCAAAACCAGCUGGGAGAGCUUACCAAUGCACAAUACUUGUAAAAUUUUAUGAGGAAACUAUUACCUAAAGAUACCUCAAUCUUCUCUGGAAGACUGUUAAGCUUCAAGUGAUAUCGAACACGUUAUGAAGUUUUAGAUACUAAUUAGUUUAGGAAUUAUUUUCAUUUUGGAAACUUGGUGUUCCUCUGCCAACAGGAGUAGAUUCCCUUCAGAUUAGGUUUGGACUACCAUAAAUAGAGGAUUAGUUUUUAGUGAUUAUUAAUCCACUGAAAUCUUGUUUCAUCUCUUAAUUCUCUUUGUUCUUCUUCUUCCCUUUGUAAUUCUUUUCUCCCACUCUCUCUUUCUUUUCUUUUAUUUCCUUUCCUACAUCAUCACCAUGCCACAAGGUAAAAACGGGACUGUUUCUAGGAAGUAAAAGAAAUAUAAUCUAAGAGUUAUUUGGAUAAUGACAGUAGAAGUUAGGAAAUUAUACAUACCCAGGCAAGCGAAGCCUCAAAAAUUGUUCCAGCUGUCCAGAAAGCUGAGAGGGCUACCAUCCACGUGCCUCUAUGUGAAACAGGAACGAACUCCAGAAAAUAGGCUAAGAAUACAGGUACUCCCCCCAAACCAACACCAACGAAACAACGAAAUAUCACCAAUGAUACAUAAUUUGGCGAGAAAGAACUUAAUAGUCCAGCCAUACUAGUUACCAUAGCUAUGCUGAGAAAACUCUUUCUGGAGAGAGCAGACACUAGUCAGCAUUUAAUAAAACUAGAAAAAAGUACUUAUAAAACAUCGAGUUUCAACCAAAGACUUUAUAUUUAUGAAUAAAUUCUUAAGUAGAAUGGCCUAACAUUUGAUGGAUAAGUGCAUCU